UAGGGAAUCUUCGGCAAUGGACGAAAGUCUGACCGAGCAACGCCGCGUGAGUGAAGAAGGUUUUCGGAUCGUAAAACUCUGUUGUUAGAGAAGAACAAGGACGUUAGUAACUGAACGUCCCCUGACGGUAUCUAACCAGAAAGCCACGGCUAACUACGUGCCAGCAGCCGCGGUAAUACGUAGGUGGCAAGCGUUGUCCGGAUUUAUUGGGCGUAAAGCGAGCGCAGGCGGUUUCUUAAGUCUGAUGUGAAAGCCCCCGGCUCAACCGGGGCGGGUCAGUGGAAACUGUCAGACUUGAGUGCAGAAGAGGAGGGUUGAAUUCCAUGGGUAGCGGUGAAAUGCGUAGAUAUAUGGAGGAACACCAGUGGCGAAGGCGGCUAUCUGGUCUGUAACUGACGCUGAGGUUCGAAAGCGUGGGGAGCAAACAGG
rnacentral:rRNA from 1 species